UGGUUCUGGCAUNGAUGAAGAACGCAGCGAAAUGCGAUAAGUAAUGCGAAUUGCAGAAUUCAGUGAGUCAUCGAAUCUUUGAACGCAUAUUGCGCCCUUUGGUAUUCCGAAGGGCAUGCCUGUUCGAGCGUCAUUAUCACCUAUCAAGCCUGGCUUGUCAUUGGACUUUUUGGUCAUACGACCGGUCUGAAAGAUAAUAGACAGGACCUGACAGCCCCUGGAUAUAAUAAGCUUUAGAGAGCACGUAUCCGUCGGCCAGCGGGCCCCCGUCUUUAAGCCCCCAUUUUCUCAGGUUGACCUCGGAUCAGGUAGGAAUACCCGCUGA
rnacentral:misc_RNA from 1 species